rnacentral:rRNA from 1 species
GACGAACGCUGGCGGCGUGCUUAACACAUGCAAGUCGAACGGAAAGGCCCUGCUUUUGUGGGGUGCUCGAGUGGCGAACGGGUGAGUAACACGUGAGUAACCUGCCCUUGACUUUGGGAUAACUUCAGGAAACUGGGGCUAAUACCGGAUAGGAGCUCCUGCUGCAUGGUGGGGGUUGGAAAGUUUCGGCGGUUGGGGAUGGACUCGCGGCUUAUCAGCUUGUUGGUGGGGUAGUGGCUUACCAAGGCUUUGACGGGUAGCCGGCCUGAGAGGGUGACCGGCCACAUUGGGACUGAGAUACGGCCCAGACUCCUACGGGGGGCAGCAGGGGGGAAUAUUGCACAAUGGGCGGGAGCCUGGUGCAGCAACGCCGCGUGCGGGAUGACGGCCUUCGGGUUGUAAACCGCUUUCGCCUGUGACGAAGCGUGAGUGACGGUAAUGGGUAAAGAAGCACCGGCUAACUACGUG